UACAGGGGGUGCAAACGUUGCUCGGAAUCAUUGGGCGUAAAGCGCACGUAGGCGGUUCGUUAUGUCGGAUGUGAAAGCCCUUGGCUUAACCGAGGAAGUGCAUCCGAAACUGCUGAGCUUGAGUACUUAAGAGGAUCGCGGAAUUCCCGGUGUAGAGGUGAAAUUCGUAGAUAUCGGGAGGAACACCAGCGGCGAAGGCGGCGCUCUGGGCCGGUACUGACACUGAGGAGCGAAAGCGUGGGUAGCAAACAGG
rnacentral:rRNA from 1 species